AUUGAACGCUGGCGGCAUGCCUUACACAUGCAAGUCGAACGGUAACAGGUCUUCGGAUGCUGACGAGUGGCGAACGGGUGAGUAAUGCAUCGGAACGUGCCCAGUUGUGGGGGAUAACUGCUCGAAAGAGCAGCUAAUACCGCAUACGACCUGAGGGUGAAAGCGGGGGAUCGCAAGACCUCGCGCAAUUGGAGCGGCCGAUGUCAGAUUAGGUAGUUGGUGGGGUAAAGGCCUACCAAGCCGACGAUCUGUAGUUGGUCUGAGAGGACGACCAGCCGCAAUGGGACUUCGACACGGCCCAGACUCCUACGGGAGGCAGCAGUGGGGAAUUUUGGACAAUGGGCGAAAGCCUGAGCCAGCAAUGCCGCGUGCAGGAAGAAGGCCUUCGGGUUGUAAACUGCUUUUGUCAGGGAAGAAAUCCUCUGGGUUAAUACCCCGGGGGGAUGACGGUACCCGCAGAAGAAGCACCGGCCAACUACGUGCCAGCAGCCGCGGUAA
rnacentral:rRNA from 1 species